rnacentral:rRNA from 1 species
AUUGAACGCUGGCGGCGUGCCUAACACAUGCAAGUCGAGCGGUAACAGGUGUAGCAAUACAUGCUGACGAGCGGCGGACGGGUGAGUAACGCUUGGGAAUCUGCCUAUUAGUGGGGGACAACCCGGGGAAACUCGGGCUAAUACCGCAUACGCUCUACGGAGGAAAGCCGGGGACCGCAAGGCCUGGCGCUAAUAGAUGAGCCCAAGUCGGAUUAGCUAGUUGGUAGGGUAAUGGCCUACCAAGGCGACGAUCCGUAACUGGUCUGAGAGGACGACCAGUCACACCGGAACUGAGACACGGUCCGGACUCCUACGGGAGGCAGCAGUGGGGAAUAUUGGACAAUGGGCGAAAGCCUGAUCCAGCGACGCCGCGUGGGUGAAGAAGGCCUGCGGGUUGUAAAGCCCUUUCAGUGGGGAAGAAAAGCCUCGACCUAACACGUCGGGGUCUUGACGUAACCCAUAGAAGAAGCACCGGCUAACUCUGUGCCAGCCGCCGCGGUAAC